GGGGAAUUAGCUCAGUUGGUAGAGCACUAGCUUUGCAAGCUAGGGGUCAUCGGUUCGAGUCCGAUAUUCUCCA
rnacentral:tRNA from 1 species